GUUAGUGGACUUGACAGCUAGUGGUGACUAGAAAGACGUGUAUAGGCGGUUUUAUUAUCAUCAUAGUUUAUGUAACUCAUACCCUAGAGUCUUGGCGUCUACAACCUGCACACCCUACCUUGACGGCCAGUGGAUUAAAGGACGACAUCAACAUCUCCCAGAAGCCUCAGAGAUAGAUGGGAGAAGGGAUGAAUUUCCGUGGUUGUUAAAUUGUUAUUUUAAUAGGACGGAGGUUGAGAUUAUUUGCACAUCACAUCAAAGGCCCAUGCACUUACACAUGGGAGUCUGCGGUCUAUGUCUGGACUGGUGUGGUUUACUGAACACAAAAACCACCCCCUCUUCAAGCGGGUGAGGGUGGGAGGAAGCGCUUUCUCCCUAGUGCCAGGAGCUAGAUGAUGCCCCUGGUUGUUAGGAUGGAGUCCACAUAGCUCUCACUGGGUGUAGCCCCUCUUCCAAAAAGAUGCGGGUUUGCCUUGGGCUGAGGACCGAGUUGGGUCCUGAGAUGCUGACUGGAGGAGCUCAGGGCCUCCCUGGUCCCAGCUAACGGCUCUGGGCAUGGUGAGGGCCUGUGGUUCCUUGCGACCCUAAAUGUGUCAGGGGCAGCCGGGCUAGGGGGUCCUGGGAAGUCUUGUCGUUGGUGCUCCAGCUCCUGUCCUCCCACCCAGCCACAGCCGGGCCCCCAAGGGUCAGGGCACAGACGACCGCAAAGGCCAGGGAGGAGGCUGCCGCAUUCAUUCCUCCUCUGGGCCGGCGGCGUUACCACCUCUCUCUGGGAGUGCGAGCCAGAGCGCAGGGAGCCUCCGGCUGCUUAUUGAAGGUGUGUGCGCGCGUGCGUGUGUGCGCGUGUGCGCGCGUGCGUGGAGAGAGCGAAGUGCGUUGAAAAAUGAAUGCGUCCCUUUUCCAAUUUCCCCGCAGCUCCCACCUCCCAGCCUGCUCGUCGGGGCAGGUGGANNNNNNNNNNNNNNNNNNNNNNNNNNNNNNNNNNNNNNNNNNNNNNNNNNNNNNNNNNNNNNNNNNNNNNNNNNNCGCCUCCGCCCUCCCCCAGCCUCCGUCGCUCAGCCCCGCCGGCUCCCAGUCCACCGCGUUCCCGGAGAGGAGGAGACGGAGGAGGACGACGGACGUCAGGGCCAAGUAUGGGAGGAGGCAGCCAGUCAGCGACCAGACCUGCUCUGAUCCCACCCAGGACCACUACCAACCUAGGUGCUGCCUAAGCCAAAAGCCCAGGACGUACCCACUGUGUUUCCUCCAUCACCCACGCAUUUUCUUAGGUACCCAGCUUUGUUUAUUCUACACCAACACAUUUUCAAAACAAAUGCUUAUUGAAAACUCUAUUACAUGCCAGGCAGCAUUGUCAGAGCAAUCACCCGAGUCAGGCAUCACUGCCCACCUUUAAUAGAUGAGGAGACUAAGAAAUGUAUGCAUUGCAGAUAUGUACUCUUUUCUGUAUUUCCAAAGCCACUGUACUUUCUGCACGUGUCCCUCAACAGUCCAGGAAUUCUCUGAGAUCAGGAAUCGGAUUGUGCCCUAGUGCCUGGCAAAGUACUUCACCCUCCGUGGGAAAUUAAUGAGGGAUCAUUGAUGGAAAGCUGGAAGGAAGGAAGGAAAGGGGGAAGGAAAGGAGGGCAGGGAGGGUGAUGUGAAGCAGGUUCAUUGUGCGCUGGUCACCAGCUUGCUUGAGUCCAACCCAGGACACGUUCCACAACAACAAGGGAUUUCUGUCCAUAGACAGCAAGGGAUUCUCCAGAAAGGAGCCCAGGGCAAAUGGAAUCGCAGCUGUAGAUGUCCCACUUGCACUGCGACUGAG
rnacentral:lncRNA from 1 species